rnacentral:rRNA from 1 species
UACGUAGGGGGCUAGCGUUGUCCGGAUUUACUGGGCGUAAAGGGCGCGUAGGCGGCCAACUAAGUCAUACGUGAAAUCCCUCAGCUUAACUGGGGAACUGCGUGUGAUACUGGAUGGCUUGGAUUUGGGAGAGGGAUGCGGAAUUCCAGGUGUAGCGGUGAAAUGCGUAGAUAUCUGGAGGAACACCGGUGGCGAAGGCGGCAUCCUGGACCAAUAUUGACGCUGAGGAGCGAAAGCCAGGGGAGCAAACGGG